AAAUACCUUGUACAGUUUCCCCUUUCCCUUUCAGCCAGUCCAAGAGUUCAGUUCACUCGAAAGCGGGUAGCCAUUAAGGAAAGCGGCUGUUGGAUAUUUGGUUUUAACCGGUUGCCCCACCCCUUAUAGUAAGUACUGGUGAGAGGGAAAGAGCGCUCCUGCCCUUUACCCAAACAGUACAAGAAUGGCAAUCCACCUAUUGGUGUGCUUCCCCACCUCUUAUAGUAAGUACUGGUGAGAGGGAAAGAGCCUCCUGCCCUUUACCCAAACAGUACAAGAAUGGCACUCUACCUAUUGGUGUGCUGCUGCCCUCAACCGACCUGAUCGUCCCAAUCCGGUUGUCCUCACUAAGAAGAGAUCCACAAUCUCUUAUCUAAUGAAUAUGAAAUUGCUAUAUAAUAUUCCUUUGCCUAGCUGCCCAUUGCUAGAACUUCCAGCGC
rnacentral:lncRNA from 1 species